rnacentral:rRNA from 1 species
AGUGAACGCUGGCGGUAGGCCUAACACAUGCAAGUCGAACGGCAGCACAGUAAGAGUUCGCUCUUACGGGUGGCGACUGGCGGACGGGUGAGGCAUACAUCGCAAUCUAAUUUUUCGUGGGUGACAACGUAGGGAAACUUACGCUAAUACCUCAUAUGACCUACGGCUGAAAGCAGUGGAUCUUCGGACCUUGCCCGUUUGUAUGAGCCGAUGUCGGAUUAGCUAGUUGGCGUGGUAAAGGCCCACCAAGGCGACGAUCCGUAGCUGGUCUGAGAGGAUGAUCAGCCACACUGGAACUGAGACACGGUCCAGACUCCUACGGGAGGCAGCAGUGGGGAAUAUUGGACAAUGGGCGCAAGCCUGAUCCAGCCAUACUGCGUGGGUGAAGAAGGCCUUCGGAUUGUAAAGCCCUUUUGUUGGGAAAGAAAAGCAGCAGGUUAAUACACCGCUGUUCUGACGGUACCCAAAGAAUAAGCACCGGCUAACUUCGUG